AAAGGAGAGGUGCGGCAGGCAGGGCGCGGCGGGGCGGUGCGCCCGGCUUUUAAGGCGCCGGGGCUGGGGCGGCGCGCUGGGGGCGGAGCUCCUGCUCAGAGUCUGGCCGGGAGAGGGAAGGGGGGCAUCCAGGAGUGGGGGCGGGGAGGCGCAGUGACUACCGCAGCUGCGCGCGCGACGACCUGGGGCGCCGGGACAGGGCCAUCUGCAUCGGAGUCGCCCCUUUCCGCAGCGCUUCUCCCCAAGAAUCGACUGCUUCGGAAGUGACUCGAGCGGAGGGGUGCCUAAACGACUGAGGUUUCCCAUCCGGAAACCACACAGCUCUGUCGCAUCCCUUGACCCUAUCCCCUCUUCUUUAACCGACUGGGAGGUUAGGGGUUUCUGGGAGGUGUCCCCUACACCCACCCUCAUCCUGAGGUGAGGCGCACAGAAAGCCUUCCCGAGGGCGAGGUCGUGUUUUUCCAGUUACAGUGAGGACCUGCAGAGCGAGCCCUUGUCCCCUUCCUCAGGGUCCCCAAGGAGAAAGGUGGGAGAUGCUACGUCAGAAAGCAUCUCUCCAGCUGCCCCUCUGCAGCUCCUGGGGAGGCUCCGGGCGGAAAGAUGUUCAGCAAGUGCCUCUCCCAGAAGAGAGGGGAGAUCAGUAAAGAAAGUGACCCCGAGCUGCGGAGAGUGGGGAGAAGCGGCGGUACAGAGGGGAAAAGAGGCCAGACUUGGAGAAGCAGGAGGCGCUGGGAAUUGCUGGGGCUCAUCGUUAGGGCACUAAAGCAUGGCACAGGCCAGGACCACAAGCUGCUGGAAAGGGGGCUGCAGACUUUUGUGUUUAGAGCAUUAUAUUUUAAAAUAUUUCGAAAGGAGCAUUUUUAAACCAGGAGAUUUCACCUGUAAAGAAAUUGGAUUUCUGGCUUCUUCUGAAAAUGGGAAGAGCUGGGAUGCCCACAGUGGCAGAGGUGAGUUGCCCUUGCCAUUUGUAUAAGAAGUGUGCUCUCCUGUUCACUACAGUCCCUGCCAUUCUCCACUGAAUUACGCCCCCCUUCUUAAUUCAUUUACUUUACCUCUCUGACCCUGUGGGCAUUUGAGAUUUCAGUUUGUGUAAAUCCAGCAGGGCAGGUUCUCAACUGGCUUCAGAGAGCCACUCCCUGUGCAGAUCUCUUUUUGGAGAAAAGAGAUCCCUGCAAAAAGAUUAAACUCCAGGAGUGGGGGAGAGUGCUGGUGACUGAGCCGGCCUCUUCUGCCACAUGGUAGGGUUGGUGGGGCAGGGGGUGAGAAUCAAAGAAUGGAAUCUGAAAAGAUGAAGGCUGGGAGGGGUCAGUGUGGCGUCUGUAAUAUGUACCCACUUGCAAGCUUCUAAUAUCAUUCAGGAUGUGGAUAUGGCUUUGGAGAGGGAGUAGGAAGACCUUUUUAGUUAUAUCCCAGAAUUCCAGACUGAGGGCCUUUUAUUGAUAUUGGAAUCUUCAAGGACGUAGUUCUAGGAUAAGUUUUACUUCAUGGGGAAAGGGGAAUAUGCUUGGGACAGGCCACUAAAGGAAGGGUGAAAAGGGAUCUUAUGGGACUUUGGAGCAUAUCUCUUGGCUUUGUGCUUGAUGUCAUGGAAGAUGGUCAGGCCCUGCCACAGCCUGCCCCUCUGGUUCCUCAUCACAGACCAAAGCCUUGAGUUGGAGGGACUCAAUUCUGAGGUCUUUGGGCUUAGAAAGACCUGGUAAGGUGAACAAUAAAAGAUUGCUAACACUGCUGAGUAAUGAUUGUCUGCCAGUACUUGUGCUGGCACUUUUGCAUAGGUUUACCUCUGAACCAUGCUUCAAGGUGGCCCUCACCUCCAUCUUAUAGAUAAGGCACCGAGGUGCGGGUGCAGCACAAGGUCACCAGCAAGCAAAGACAAGCAUACAUUCUCUCUUCACUACAUAAUUCUGCUUAGUGCAGUGAGACUCUUUUUUUUUUUUUU
rnacentral:lncRNA from 1 species